CCCUUUGCGCAGUGGCAGUAUCAUAGCCGAUGAGGUUUACCCGAGGCGCGGUGAUUGCUUAUUGAAAACUUUUCCCUAACACUGUCUUCGAGGAGCUGCAGCCGGAUGCGCUUCACGCAGACGUAGUUGCCUGGGAGA